rnacentral:lncRNA from 1 species
UUCUCAAUUCUGAGAAAAUCAGGUUGAGAGCCACUUAUGAGUAAUUACAGAUGAGUGUUACAGCAUGUGUGCAAUGCAAGUGUAUGGGUGUGUAAACGGGUGUGUGAUGUGAGUGUAGGUGUAUGAGUGUGAGUGCAUGUGUGUGUGGCAUGUGUGUGUGCAUGUGUGAUGUGUCUGAGUGUAUGUGUAUGUGUGAGUAUAUGUGUGAUGUGUAUGUGAGUGCAUGUGUGAUAUGUGUGAGAGUGUAGCUGUGAGUGUGUGAGGGCAUCUGUGGUGUGUGUAUGUGUAUGAGUGUGUGAGUACAUGUGACGUGUCUGAGUGUAGGUGUAUGUGUGUGAGUGCAUGUGUGAUGUGUGUGUAGGUGUAUGUGUGUGCAAGUGCAUGUGUGUGAUGUGUGAGUGUAGGUGUGAGAGUGUGAGUGCAUCUGUGGUGUAUGUGUAUGAGUGUGUGAGUGCAUGUGUGACGUGUGUGUGAGUGUAGGUGUAUGUGUGAGUGCAUCUGUGGUGUGUGUGUAUAAGUGUGAGUGCAUGUGACAUGUCUGAAUGUACAUGUAUGUGUGUGAGUACAUGUGACGUGUGUGUGUAGGUGUAUGCAUGUGUGAGUGCGUGUGAUGUGUGUGUGAGUGUAGGUGUGAGAGUGAGUGCAUCUGUGGUGUAUGUGUAUGAGUGUGUGAGUGCAUGUGUGACAUGUGUGAGUGUAGGUGUGUGUGUGAGUGCAUCUGUGGUGUAGGUGUAUGCGUGUGUGAGUACAUGUGACGUGUGUCUGAGUGCAUGUGUAUGUGUGAGUGCAUGUGUGAUGUGUGUGUGAGUGUAUGUGUGUGUGAGUGCAUCUGUGGUGUGUGUGUAUAUGUGUGUGAGUGCAUGUGACAUGUCUGAAUGUACAUGUAUGAGUGUGAGUACAUGUGACAUGUGUGUGAGUGUAGGUGUAUGUGUGAGUGCAUGUGUGAUGUGCAUGAAUGCAUGUGUAUGAGUGUGUGUAUGCAUGUGUGAGUGCGUGUGUGUGAUGUGUGUGCACACUGCAGCGAUGGUCCAGGUGCAGGUCCAGACUGAACUGCAAUACGCUGAGUCGCACAAGCUCUUUGGUUUCCCACGUGCUGUGGGCUGACUCUGGUCCCCACUCAAAUCCCAUCUCAAAUUGUAAUCCUCAUAAUUCCCACGUGUUGAGGGCAGGACCUGGUGGGAGGUGACUGGGUGGGGGCAGCUUCCCCCACGCUUUCUUCAUGAUAGUGAGUUCUCACAAGACAGGG